CAGUAGCCGCGGGAAUACGUAGGUGGCAAGCGUUGUCCGGAAUUAUUGAGCGUAAAGGGCUCGCAGGCGGUUUCUUAAGUCUGAUGUGAAAGCCCCCGGCUCAACCGGGGAGGGUCAUUGGAAACUGGGAAACUUGAGUGCAGAAGAGGAGAGUGGAAUUCCACGUGUAGCGGUGAAAUGCGUAGAGAUGUGGAGGAACACCAGUGGCGAAGGCGACUCUCUGGUCUGUAACUGACGCUGAGGAGCGAAAGCGUGGGGAGCGAACAGGAUUAGAUACCCCUGUAGUCCCUGUCUCUUAUAC
rnacentral:rRNA from 1 species